CUCGUAGGCGGUUUGGUAAGUCGGGUGUGAAAACUCUGGGCUCAACCCAGAGAGGCCACCCGAUACUGCUAUGACUAGAGUACGGUAGGGGAGCGGGGAAUUCAUGGUGUAGCGGUGAAAUGCGCAGAUAUCAUGAGGAACACCAGUGGCGAAGGCGCCGCUCUGGGCCGUAACUGACGCUGAGGAGCGAAAGCGUGGGUAGCAAACA
rnacentral:rRNA from 1 species